AAAACUUAUCUGCACAAUACACAUCUCCUCAACUGCAUCAACACAUCGUUCACAGAAAUCUUUACAGAAAAUUGAAGAUUUCAAAUUCCGUCGGAGGUGUGAGUGGAGCAGCCGCUCAUUGUUUGCCGGUGGAAGCCUCUGCCGACGUUGCUCCAAAUUUCAAGUAAGAGUUUAAACUUCCGGGAAAAACAGAGGAAACACAAAUUUUGGGAACGAAACAAAAUUGUUGAACUUCCAUCGGACAUGAUUUUUUCCAUAAAUUUGAGUUUUCUUUCUUCAAAUCGGAAAUCUACAUAUUUCUGCAAAACCUUAUUUAUAAUUGCUUAAUUUACCGAUUCAAUCCCCUUUUAAGAUAGAAUCUCCAGGUUAUGGGGCAAGAAUUCAUUGCCGUUUGUUGGUUUCCCUAGAGGCUUUUCUGUCAUUUGCUUUUGGUCGUUUUUAUUUAUUGGUUUAUUUAUUUUUUUAUUUUUUUGUAAAUGAUCUAAAAUCUUCUUCUAUGUUUCUCGACGACGGUUUGGUUUUUUUCUGUAUUUGUUCAUCUUCUCUUUAACGUUAUCCAGUUUCCUCCGCUUCUUGCUUAUUACAUCAUGUAAAAUUCCUUAAAAAUUUCGAACGAAAAGCAACAAACAGGUAGUGUUCUGCAUCCAAUUGUUUCUAUAAUCAACGAAGAUCAUAGACGAGUGGAGUUUUUCCAAUUUCGGGAUUUGUGAAGACAGACAAAUGCGUAAAAUUGGAGAAAUAUCUAGGUGGUAUGUUUCAUUUUUAUUUUUAUUUAUUUUGUGUUUGAACUCUGAUAUUUUUUUUUUGAUAAUUUGCAAAUUAGCAUUGAAUUAUGUACGUUUGUUUGGAAGUAUUGAUUGAAUUGACGGAAUUGGUUGAAUUAACAUAUAAAUACUUAUUCUUCUAUUGUGUAAUAUAUACUGUUUGUGGUUAAGAUGAUUAUAUAGAUUUUUUUUUUUUUUUUUUUGUGUAUGUUUGGGGUGAUAAAAUAUUAUUUACUUUGAUCAUAAAUGUGAAUUCAGAAACCACAAUUGAAUAUAUAUAUUUUCAAGUGUGUUUGCAUAUUUAUAUCUAUAUGGAUAAAAUGCAUCCCAAGCCUUUUCUUCCACCUCUUCUCUCAUCAAUCCUCGAUAAGUAUCCCAUGGAUCUCUUCCUAGAACAAUAAGGACUUUAUUGUGUCAUUCUAUCUGAUUGAAUAGCUGCAAAUAUGUGUUGUCUGGUUAUAUAAAAAUACUUAUAUGUAUAUAUGAAUAUAUAUACUCUUAUAUAUAAAUAAGAAUACAUUUUUUCCUGGUGCUGCUUAGAAACAACUUUUGUACUCUUCGUAUCCAAGUUUUAUAUUCAGUUUUUCCGUAUCUCCAAAUAAUUACACUACACGAUGAUCCCCUUAUAUUUCUAUGCUAUUUUCUCGAAUUUUUAAGAAUAUAAUCGUUUCAAAUGCUGUAGCAUUACCAACCCUUUUUUAGUGCAAUAAUUUUCAAUAUAUAGUUUUGCUGCAUAAAAAGAUUUGCAUAAAAAUUGUUCCUCCCAUAUACGAGGGAUGGUUGCAAUUUGUAAUCAAAUAAAUUGGGUUUAUCUAAGGUUUUUCUUUUAAUUUGUUUAGUAAUGAGUUAUGAUUUUAUUUGCUAUAAUUUAGGUUUAAAAAGCAAUAGCAUUCUGUUGAAGCGAGAAAUUAAAUUAGUAUUUUGACAUGUAAUUUCAGUUAAAUGCUAUGUUUGAAAUUUAAUUAAGCAACGUGGAAUCUGGACAUAGUAUUUUGAAUUUACAUUUCGAAGAAAAGUUUGAGUGACCAUUCUGCUAUAGUGAUUUCCAAUACUUUUCCGAUGUUUUUUAUUGCUUUCUUUCGAGGUCCUUUUAAUUUAUCAAUGUCUUUUAUCUUUUUCACAGCUUAGCUUUAUUAUUUGGUAUAACCGCAGGUUGUAUACAUUUCAAUUGUCUGACAAUUUAACAUACAAAAGAGUAGGAAAAAGCAAGUUUUUUCGGGUAUGAACUUUUUAACUUCCGCGUCACUACAACAAAAAUGUGCUUUCCUGACACAAUUAAAUGUCUCAAUAUAUAACAUUUCGGGACACUUAUACUUCUAGGGACAUAUAAAAUAUAUGUCGCGUAGUUGUGUGUCGCAAUAGCGUUUGGGGCAUUUAUUAAAUGUCCCUAUAAAGUUUUCUUUUACAGACACUUACAUAUAUCCUAAAAGAUUGCUUUUGAGACACAAAUAUAUACCCUAUUUUAAUCUCACUAUUUUGAUUAAUCAUCCUUUUGAGGCACUUAUUUUGAUAUAUAUAUUUCUAAAAUUUAAUAUUAAUUAUAAUAUUUAUAUUUGAAUCGUAUUGUAAAAAUAACACUUUAAGAAAUACAUACAACAUAUAAAUUUGAAUAAAAAAAACCAAACAUUACAUGAAUACUCUCAAAAUCAUUAAUCAAAAUUUGAGUGCCUCUCAUCCAUAAAGUCGACAGAUACUACUGCAAGGAAUCCUACACAUACUACUACAAGGAAUCCUUCAAGACAAGCAACAUGAUCUCAUAGGACUCGAAAUAUGAAUUUUCAAUAUCCAAACUAAUUGUUCUACUAGUCUAACACUAGAAAAUAAAAAAAUAUAAAAUCCAGCUCCCACCAUAUUCUAGAUUGCAUCAACCAUGAAAUUCAUCUUUCAAAACAAAGGAACCUGCAAGUACAAAAAAAUAUACAUCAAUUAAUAAACAAAAAUUAAUGUACAAGAACAUUUCUGCCAAGUGAACAUUUGAAAAUACAAAAUAACAUAAGAUCUCUCUAAAAGAGUACUACUCUUUAGUAAGAGCCAGAAACAGAAGAUAAACUUCAAAAAUACAUACUCACGUACAUCAAAUAAAAACCCAAGAUAACAACAAAUAAUUUGAACUGCUUCAGAAGACUGAUAGAAUGAUUCAUAUCCAACAAUAUAAAGUAGAAUUCUUAACCAUUUAAACUGUAACUUCAUCAACUUGUCAUGUUCGACUCCUUCAAUUAAUCCAACAAUAUAAAGCAAUACUCUUGACCAUUUAAAAAUCAAACUUUAUCAAUUUGCUUACUUCUACUCCUCCAAGUAAUAAAUAAAUAUACACGAUCAACUCAUAUAGGCCGGUCAAACAAAUAAAUCAAAAUGUUCUAUUUAGCUUUGUUGAAAUUCAAUGGUCAAUGAGCAAGAGUAAAAAAACAAACGGUUACUCUUUUCAUUUUUAUUCUCCAAAAAAAUUAAUAUUCUCUAAGUAUCAACAACUAAUAACCAAAUAUGACGGCCAGAACCACCAAAAGUUGAUGAUUAACGAGAAAAAUACAAUUUACAGAUAAUAAGGAAAAAAGAAAACAUCACAAUGAAAGAGGGCAAUCCAAUAUACACUCUACGAUUACAUGAAUAUAAUCGUAGGGGGAAUCAUUGAAGUGUUUUUUUACCUACCAUCAAGAAUCUCAAUUCAUUAAGUCCUCAGAAACAUAAACACGUUAUAGAAGACAAGAAAAAAAAACAUACCAAUGAAAAGGCUAAUCGAUAUAUACUUCAAGACCCUUUAAAUUUCUCUUGCCUCGUUUUCACUCGGUAGUGAGAUUCAAUACCUUCUGGUAAAAAUAAAAAAGAUAACUAGAGAGAUAAGCAUAAGGCAAACAUAAACUAUAAUUUAUUCCCGUGUUUCUAGUUUAAAUCAGAGCCCUCGAGAAUUAUUCUUGCAUGAAAUAUAAUAUAAAAUAUAAAGAAAAUGUGCAAGCUAAGUUCAACAAAAAAUUAAGUAACAUUAAAUGAUAAAUAGUCCUUGAGGGCCCUAAACACAAAAACGAAAUAUUAGGCUUACAAAGAACUAUAAUCGAAAGAAAAAACUACCUGAAAACUUAUCGACAUUGGCUAUCUUUAAAGCCAUAGGUAAUUAUCGACAUGGUGCUUUUACUUGUAGAAAACCUGACCUUAGUACCGUCAAAAUUAUAAGAACAUAGAAAUCAAAACACACAUUCAUACAAUACGGAGGGUUGCAGGCAAUGAGAAAAUUGAGUGUUUCUAAAUUCCCAAUGUAUAGAAUACAUUUUCCUGCUUAAUGACACAGAUAUAUAUUAAGACAAAGAAAUAGAAUUACAUUAGAAGCAGAGACAUUCUUUGUUGGUGGCAGAAGAGAACAAAUCAUAAAAUUCUAAUUCUUUUCUAAACAUUCAUCACAAACUAGUAUUUUGCUAAAAUUGUUUCACUUAUUCAGCAUGAACAAAUUAAAAUUGCUAAAUUCCAAUUUAAAACAUAUAAAAUUUUAAUAUAUUUAAUGUAAUACAGUUUCUCCUCCUCCCACAAUUACCAUGUCCCAUGUCGAACAACCACGAGGAUAAAUAGCCAACAUAUCCAUAUUGAACUAUUUAUCACCAUAAAUUAGGGGUUUAGGGUUUCGAUUUCAAUUAUUAGGAUGAAAAGAGUUCGUAAGGAUGGGCGUUAAUCCAUUACCGUAACAAAGGGAAUUGAUCGGAUUACCUUCGAACAAAGGGCUUUUUUCUUCUUCUGCACCGUUGCUUCCUCUGUGCCGUUGCUCGAAGAAAAACCACAGAGUAGGUUUUUUCUCUAACAUCAGAGUUUGAGUUGGGAACUCGAUCGGCUGGGGUGAAAAUAAUAAAUAGAAACAGAAAAUUCUUUAUUUAUUAUUUAUUUAUUUAUUUUGCUUAAGUGUCCCUAUAUAUUUUAGAAAUAAGAAAAAAAUUAAAUGUCCCAAUAAAUUAUACUCAAGGCAUUUAUAAAAAUAUGCCUCUAAAAGUUAAAUGUCCUUAUAUGUUUUAUAAGUACGAAAAUUUUGUAAAUGUCCAUACAAAUUAUUCUUGAGGCAUUUAUAAAAAAAUGUCCCCAACCAAGUGUCGCAACAUCUACAUUUUGUUGUAGUGCGUGUUUUUUAAAAGCAGUAGCGAAAAGCAAUAGGGUUCUUAUUUUCAAUUAUUUCUUCAUAUAAGAUAUGAAAGUGUGUGCGCUAAUGUGUUUCGUGCAAUGCAAUUUAUAUGUGUGUGAUGUACUGUGUUUAUGUUUGUGUUUGUAUUUCGUAAGGGCAGAUUUUAUAAAUGCAUCUCAUUGGAUUUUUUUCUGAUUUCUUUAAGCAGUUAGUAAUUCUGGAUUUUAGAUUCAUAAUUUUUUUUACUGUAUUUUAGAUUUUUUUUUACCGCAUUUUAGAGUAUUACUGAUAGUCUUUUUAAGUGUUUUGCUGCAGUUAGGUGAUUCUAUUCUGUCGGCCACAUUCAUAUCCGUAGUAGGAUUGUUAAGUUGGCUUCAGUAUGCUGUCUUAUAGGUUCUUUAAUUGAUAGUCAAGUGUUUUGGUUAUGCCAUCUUAUGUUUGUUACUACCCUACCCCUUUCCAGCAUUACACAAACACACACUAUUUUCCUUCAAAUACUAUUAGUUAUAUUUUUUGUUGCUUUUCUUGCAGAUGAUAAUAUUGGCCGAUUUACCAAAAUUCUCCCCCAUAUAAGGUUAGUGGAUCGACCAUGCACUAUAUUUACGACUUUAUGUUCUUCCAAAAAUCAGGGUCUUAUAAUGAUUAUCGAUCGAUGGGAGCUUUAUGGUUUUUCAGGUCUCCGAAGGUUUUCAAAUUUCAAAUUAUUUGUAGUUAUUAUGAUUUCACUGUUAGCACCCGUGUGGGAACUAUCGAAUUCAAAAAACAAGUUCUUAUUUUGUUAUAGAAAUUUUAAUUAAGGGAAAGGAGAAACUUUUUUGUAUUCUUAGUGAGGUUUAUGCUCAUUAUACUAGAUUAUAUUGACAUUCAUCAAUUGAUUACGAUGAAGCCUAUCAUAUAUAAAUGUGCUUAUAUAGGAAAUUUUUGGGUACCAACAUCCCCUUACUUGUGAAUUUCGGAUUAUGUGGAAAUUUAAGUAUAACAGUGACAUAUAGAUGUGCUUAUGUAUGAAAUUUGGGAAACAACAACCUGUUACUCACAUAUUUCGAAUUAUGUGGCUAUUUAAGUGUUAUAUUGAUGCUUUAUUUAAUGAUUUAACCAUAUCUACCAUGCUUUUGUAUGUAUGUGUAUUUUUGUCAUUAUUUCAGUAUCAUAGUAUUUUAUAUAGAAUUUGAAGCAACAACUAGCAGAUGUCAGCUAGCAGAAGUCAUUCAGGCUUAUGAGUUCCGGACUGAAGUUAUUAGGAAACAAAAAAGACGUGCAAAUCAAGCAAAUGAAGAGGGAAUAGUCCAUCUUCUGAUUAUGCCUUAUUGUAAACAUAUGAUAAACUAUUUUAAGAGUUGGUCUAUAGUUAUGUCUUAUUUUUAAAUUAUUUUUUUAAAUAUUUGGAUAAUGAGCUUAUAAGUUAUUUGGUACGCAUUAUGAGAUCCCGUUAUGUUUUAUUUUUCUUAAACAAUAUUCUAAAUGAUUAUGAGUAAAAUAAGGAGGUUGUAAUUAUCAUUUUGAGAAAAAAAAAGGGUACUAAAUGGAGAGAGUAGAACCUCAAAUGGAUGGUUGUUAUUGUCCAUACAAGGAUCAUUUUUCGUAAUCCAACACCUUUAGGUUGUUUGUACUUAUAUCAAAUGAGAAUCUAAUUUUGUUUACAGGUUACUUACAAGUAAUGGUUGAUUUGAACUAAACAUUUGUUUUUAUUUUGUUAUUAUUGUGUUAUUAUUUGCACUGAUGAUGAAAGUGCAUUGAAG
rnacentral:lncRNA from 1 species